CCCACCCCCCCGACCCCGGCCCGCCAGGGCCCCGAGCCGCGCCCGGGACCCUGCAGAGCGCCGCCCGAGACCAUCAGGGCGCCCACUCCAAGGUCCCCGAGCCCCCUGCUGCCCAUCUGUGAGCCAAGUCUCGAAGCCCCUACUUCUGACCCCUGACCCUCGCCCCGGAAGUCCGGGUGACUCGGAAGUUCCGGCUCAGUCGCUAGGAAACAGGCGGGCCCGACGCGGGGGGCGGGGCUUCUGGCCUCGGGGCUCGGAGAAAGGCAGGUGAGGCAGGUGAGGCCGUGGGGGCGGCGCCGAGCCCUGGCGGGGCCGGACCUGGGGACCCCGUGCAUACGGGUGUCCCCACCAGUCGGGGGCGGUCCCCUCUCAUUAUCCCCAGGCAUAGUGGAUGCCGAAACAUGUAGCGGACCCUGCACCCACAGACCCCUGUACAUAUGGGACCCCACAUGCAUACUGGGUCCCCCCUUGCACUCUGACUCCACAAGCACAGGAUAUCCCUCAUGUGCACAGAAUCUUACAAGCACACCAAACCUCACACAUGCUGUCCACUCACCAGGACUAUGUACCACACCCCUCCCAUACAUAUAGGGACCCACCCCACACAUAAACAGGACCUCAUGACUGCUCAUACACCAAUUCUGAAAGCACAGGGAACCUCCCCUCACAUGCACUUGGCCCUACAUGUGCAACAAGAGUCUCUCAUGUACUGGGGGCCCUCUAAGUCCCAACCUCCUACAAGGAAUGGGGACCUUAUGCACAUCGAGGGUACACAUACCACCUCUAGCUUGCACACAGGAGGCUCAGUUCUCCCUCAGACCCUCCUAUAGGGUCCUCCCCCACUUCAGCCCAGCCCAUCUGUCCUACCAUUCCCGACCCAGGGGCUCACUCCCUGACAUCCAGCCUGAGUCCUUUCUGCCUGCCGGCCUUCAGUCACCCCUGCUUUUUGUCUUCUAGUGACCAUCCUGUUUUCAGGGUCACCCCCAGUUUCUCCAUUUCCUUUCCCAUCCACAGCAUCCCACUGGUGUGCUGGAACUCCUGUGGGGUCAGACCAGCUCUGGGCAGUGGCACUGCGCGAGUCCCUUGUGUGUGAGGGGAGCUUGGUGAACUCCCAGGCAAGGAGCCUCCCCGGGGAAUGAGCUGUGGGGUGAGCCUGGUGGGCCCGACCACAGCGUCUGUGGGAGCCAAGAUAAGAGAGGGCCUAAGGGUAGGGAGGCGCGGGUGUGAGGGGUGCCAGGUCUGUGUGGAGGGGUCCUCAGACGAGUUCAUUAGGCAGCCAAGUGGUUUGGACCAGGGAGAUGGGUGCUGACCACUAAAUCCCAGGGUCCCAGCAGGAUGGACCAAGCCAGGCACGUGAGAGUGGAUGGGAUGUGUUCCUGCCACACAUCCUGCUCAAGCUACUGGGAAUAUACAUCCGUAAGCCAUGGGCAGGGAAGUGUGCUAGAAUGUCCAUGUUUCUGCUGCCUGCCCACCCAGACCCAUGUGGGGUGUGAUGCUGUUCCCCACUACUCCCGUCUGCUGCACCUCUAAUCAUACCCUCCCGGGGUGUUUUCUUCCCAUUCCCAGGAGAAUGAACAGUAAGAAAGGGGGGGC
rnacentral:lncRNA from 1 species